UACUGAAAUCUACAGUUGGUUGUCCAAAGCCAGGAGCACACUCUAAAGUCACUAAUUGUGGUGUUUCCUCAUUGAUCUCCACAGGGCAGAGUUGGGCCCCAGCUGAAAGCUUGUGAAAAUGCUGCUCUGCUGUUGUGGAUCUGGUCCCAUCACCUCCUGUGAACUCGCUGAUACCUCACCACUGUAAGAGACAGCAAGAUCUGGCAGCUCUGUGCAUCUCCAGUAUCUCCAGCAUGUUCCCCUUCAAUUGCUUCUUUUCAAGUGAAAAGGGCUCAUCUCUCCUGCUGCUACAGCCAUUUUAAAUGUGUCACCUUGGAGUUCCCUAGUUCUGAAGGGAAAGAAGAGCAAUGGGAUGGGUAAGACUGCAACUGGCUUCAAGAUAGUACCACAUCAUUAAAGUACAUUGUGGCACAGCAGUGUUUUCUUAAUACCUUCUAUCAGCCUCCUGGCCUUUCUGGCCUCUGCAGGACACUGUGUAGCAGGAGGGAGACAUGCUGCAUCCAGGCUGCACAGUUCUAGGAAGGUCUUUGGGGUUUACAGCCACAGGCUGAUGAAACUGUAAAAGAAGGACAGUCAAAGCUUUGGCAGCUUGGAGAACAGCAGUGUCUAAGGGCAGAGAGAAUUCUGUUCUAGCAUGACAUUUGGGUGAGAUUCACAAAGGGAAGGAGUUAAAAAC
rnacentral:lncRNA from 1 species